UAUUCCUUGUUUUCCCUUUGUAGUUUCUACUCCAGCGCCGCGUUCUUACUUCAUAGUCUCUCACGCAAAUUCGAUUGAUUUGGAAGGCAAUCCAACUCGCUCCAUGGAUUGUGUAUUCUCUGUUAAAGGAUUCACACCAGAGUAUGAGAUCCUGACGAGGGAUUGCGAUGCAAUCGGAAUAUCUCACGGAUAAGUCCUAUCAAUAGGAAUGUGUGGCAUAGGAAAUGAUCGAUAUAUUGUACAGUGACAAGUAUUUGCUAUCUCAAUCUUACGAGAUACGGGAGAGUAGGAGAAUUUUGAGAAUUUAUUACCUACUCUUUCUGAAUAUUGGCCUAGAAUGAAUUAUACAGUUUCUCAGAGGAGUGUAUCUUCAUACAUUACAAGCCGCGGCGGCUCUUAUAAACUGCAUCAUAUGUGGGCUCUUAUAAACUGCAUCAUAUGUAAGCAAAGCUCAUCCCCAUCCACAUAGGAGCUCAUCCCCAUUCACAUAGGAGAAAUGUCAGUAGAGAUCAAGUCCUCUUGGCCUAUUGUAUUAAGGAGCAUGAGAACUGCAUCAUAUGUAAGAUCACUUCGACAUUUUAGAUUUUAUCAAAGCAAAGCUCAUCCCCAUUCACAUAGGAGCUCAUCCCCAUUCACAUAGGAAAAAUGUCAGUAGAGAUCAAGUCCUCUUGGCCUAUUGUAUUAAGGAGCAUAAGAAUUCACGUCCCUCUCCGGGGACUCCCAUAAAUGCUUACCAAGAAAUUAAAGUCCAACCUCAAAAUUUCCUCUCUCAACACUACAUUCAAUCCAGAUAUGGACAUAGACAAAGGCCCAUCUAUAAUUAAAAAUCACAUUGCUCUCUUAGCCACCCCUUCCUUAUUACUGAGCUGCAGGCUUACGGGAGUGCUCAUUAAUGCUAACCAAGAAGUCAAGGCCCAGACUUAAUCUUUCAUCACCCAGCUACAUUCAAUCCGGGUAUGGGCAAGUACAAAGACCCAUUAAUGAUCUGGACCAAGGUGAGACAAAAAGACGGAAGAAUGUGUAUGCAAAAAAAGCUCAACAAGUAAUGCAAACACAACCUGAAGCUGGAGAUGCAAUAGCAUGAUAUGAGGCGACCGGUGGUGUCAAGAAAGGAGGGUGCAUGUUUGGAUUUUGAUUGGAUACCCAACACUACCCAGGCAAGAAUUACGCAAUUAGAGUAACACAACAAGGAGAUCUUAGAGCAAAAUAAGAGGAUCAUGGAGAAAUUGAAAGGAUGGAAUCAAAUUUUGCUUUAUUUAGUGCACACUCGGAGUGGUUUCAAUUAGUUGAUCAUAAUUUGCAUAUAGUCGGUAGCAAUGAAAGCAAAUAAGAGGAUCAUGGAGAAAUUGAGAGGAUGGAAUCAAAUUUUGCUUUAUUUAGUGCACAUUCGGAGUGGUUUCCGCUUUCAACCUGUUGAUCAUAAUUUUCAUAUAGUAGAUAGCAAUAAAAGCAGUGGUGUUGGGCUAGAUAAUCUCAACUUGAAUGAUGAUAUACAACCUCCAUCUCAAUAGCUCAAUCAUGAUUAGGUACUUGUUAAUACAAAGUUGUUAAAGCAGUGGUGUUGUAAUAGAUAACAUCAACUUGAAUGAUGAAUGAUGAUACAAAAUUUAAGAAUUUUUUGCAUUUUUA